rnacentral:rRNA from 1 species
UACGUAGGGGGCAAGCGUUGUCCGGAAUCAUUGGGCGUAAAGAGCGUGUAGGCGGCCAGAUAAGUCCGCUGUGAAAACUCGAGGCUCAACUUCGAGCUGUCGGCGGAAACUAUCUGGCUAGAGUCCGGAAGAGGAGAGUGGAAUUCCUGGUGUAGCGGUGAAAUGCGCAGAUAUCAGGAGGAACACCGGUGGCGAAGGCGGUUCUCUGGGCCUUACCUGACGCUGAGGAGCGAAAGCAUGGGGAGCAAACAGG